ACUGAGUCUUGAAAUGGGGUUGUAGCUGGCCUUAAAGGCAUGUGCUCGCCCUGUUCAAAUCCACUCUACACCUGUGCACUUACUGUGGGCUUUGGUUAGAAAGCCAGGUUUAUAACCUGACCUUUGAGCCGGGCUCAUGUUUACUUUACAAACAACUUAGUAUCAGAAUGUGUAUUGCAAUUUAAUGCAUUUUAUA
rnacentral:misc_RNA from 1 species